CCCAUAAUAGUGGGUGGGGAUUUUAGCUCGCAAAUUGAUAACCUCAAUCAAGUAUAGAAGAAUUAGUAACAAAAAAAAUAAAUGUAACACACAGCAGGAAAAUAUAAGAUAUUGCACUAAAUUGUACAGGAAAAUGCUAUGACAAACAAUAGAAUAAAUUGGCUUGAUAAUACUACAUAGAUAUAAUCACGGUUCAAGAAAAAGCAGACACGUGCAUAACGGACGAAGUGUCGAAGAGAAAUGAUGCACUGCGUCACAGAUCGUCGCACUCGCUCACACAAGGACGUGUCUGAUUGGUCGAAAUAAGAGGACGCCAACAUGGCGCGACCAAUCACAGCCAUUGGUAGAAGUUUCGUAUUACUUCGAAAGUUUAAUACUAAUCAUAAGGGAAAGACACGUGCAUAACGGACGAGGUUUCGAAGAGAAAUGAUUGUACUGCGUCACAAAUCGGCGCACUCGCUCAACGACGUGUCUGAUUGGUCGAAAUGAGGGGACGCCAACAUGGCGUGACCAAUCACAGCCAUUGGUAGAAGUUUCGAAACUGUAAUGCUAAUCGUAAUGGAAACGUUCAUACAAUAAAUAUCAACGAAAAAA